rnacentral:misc_RNA from 1 species
AAUCCCAAAAUUACGAUCGGUUUUGAUUUUUACUCGAAAACUGUCACACGCAAUGGAAAAACUAUUACAUUACAAUUAUGGGAUACAGCAGGAAUGGAACAAUUUCGUCAAGCUAUGCCACAACAUUAUUAUAGAAAUGCAAAAGCAGUAUUAUUUGUUUAUGACAUGACAGACAAAAAUUCUUUUGAUAAUAUUAAU